UGCAUCAUGAAGAUUUAUAUUAUGUGUACCUAGGAGACAUGAUCAGAAACAGUUCUUACAAACUUGCCAUAUGAAUUUUUAAGUGGGAAAAUAUGCAAAUAGAAAAAAUAUCCAAACAAAACAAGGUAGAUAUGUGUUAGUACAGAAAUUAUUACCUUUGCAUUGAAUCCUGCUUAAAUGCAGGCUUCAACAGGUUCAGGAUCCGAUUUUGGCAAGCUGUUUAAACAGCUGCUAACUUUGAGUGUGCCAGCAGUGUCAGCAUGACUCAGUAGAACUAAUUAGAUGGUAAAGAGUAACUGAGUUUAGAAACUCUGCUCAUCUGACACUGCACCCCCUGAUUUCUCGUUGCCACUCCCCCAUCAAUAAAUGAGAUUGUAUCAUUACUGUAGGUGGGAUAAAAAUUUAGUCACUUGCUCUCAGGACUUGCUGCAAAAUUCUUUGUGUAUAAGUACUAAUUUCUUGCUGAAUUCUGAAGCAAAUACAAAUUUAACACUUAGAAAUAUGAAAUCCAAGUUGAAUGUGGUAUAAACCAUGAAGUCCUGCCUCAAAUGGAGACCAGUAGUUGAGAUUUCAGAGCUGGCC
rnacentral:lncRNA from 1 species